rnacentral:misc_RNA from 1 species
AGUGGUAGCUUGACAACUGAGAACUGAGUUUCGUAGCCAGAAGCUUGUCUUACAACCAACCCAGGGGAUGGGAGAAGAUUGGAUCUGUUGAGUGCUAGGUGGGACCAUUUGAGUUCAUGCUUAAUCAUUCAGCGUUCCAAACUAUGUUAUGUUCAGUAUGGGGUAACCUUUUUGGCAGUGUUUGGAGGCGUUGGUUUGGCCAUUUUUCUUGUAGGGGGUUGUGAUGGAAUGGGGGACUGCUGUACGAUCACUAUUGUUUUGGCUCUUUCUGUGUGAUCCUCUCUCAAGUAGGGGGACGGAAAAUUUGACUGCAACGUUGGACGCCGGAUGGUGCCACCCUUCUGACUGCGAAUUAAGUUGCCUUUGGGUUGGUGGAUCCAGGGGAUUAGUGAGUGGGUCAUAUAGACCUAAACCUGGCCAUGCCAUCAUUAUUUGCACAGCAACUCUCUUUGUGGCAGCUUCUCUUCCUUUUGUUCUUUUUAUUAGUUUGCCCUUUUAAGUAUGUUUUUGAUUCUCAGUUUUCCUACCAUUGUGCCAAUAUGGUAAAUCCUUUUUGCCGAAGCAUUUCAAUGCCUUUUCAGGAGUGUUCUACAUGGCGUUCAAGAGAUGGAUUUAGUGAAACUAUCUGACCACGGUGGAACUUUCCCACGUCUUUGUGACUGAAUUGCCAUUGGGUGUAGACUUCAGAGUCGUCUGUGCUUCCUGGUGCUGGUGGAUGGGAGUAGUCCAAAGAGAAGGCUUGUUUUACGGGCCUUUUGUUUUAGGUUCAUGCGUGAAUGUACUUGGCUUUGUCCUUUGUUAAGGUUUGCGCUGUGAUGUAUUCUAGAGUUCUUGCAUAUCGUGGAACUUCAACAAUACAAAUUGUCUGAACAUGAUUCUUGCUAUUGCCUUUUUAUUUUCCUAUUUCC